GGUAAAAUGGCUGAUUAAAGCGAUAAAUUGUAAAUUUAUUUAUGGAGAUUUUCCUUUUACCA
rnacentral:tRNA from 1 species